UUUUGGGGCCUCUAGCAAUUUCCAUCUUAAAAACUUGGGCAGAAUCACUAUUUGUUAGCUGAUUUUUUGUUUCAAAGGGCAAAAAUGUAAUUGAGGUGUGUCAUAAACCUUUUCAGAUUAAAAUUCAAGCCAAACAGAAACUAUGUGGAUGUGAUGAAGAUUCUUAUGCCUCAAUGAAAUGGACUUAAACAGUCAACAUGUCCCAACUUAAAGGAAAUUGAAAUUAGAGGUUGCCCAACUAGGAAAGAUUUUGGGUCCUUGUGGACUCAUGCCAAAUCCAAAAGCUGGUACUGUUACAACUAAUUUACCUCAGGUUGCAUUUGUUUCAGGCCAUAGAGGAAUUCAAGAAGGGCAAAGUUGAAUACAGAGCAGAUAAAACUGGGAUCGUUCACUUACCCUUUGGAAAGUCAGAUUUUUCCGAGGAAGAUCUUCUUGUGAACUUGCUUGCUGCAGUAAAAUCAGUAGAA